GAUGAACGCUGGCGGCGUGCCUAAUACAUGCAAGUCGAGCGAACAGAUGAGGAGCUUGCUCCUCUGACGUUAGCGGCGGACGGGUGAGUAACACGUGGAUAACCUACCUAUAAGACUGGGAUAACUUCGGGAAACCGGAGCUAAUACCGGAUAAUAUAUUGAACCGCAUGGUUCAAUAGUGAAAGACGGUUUUGCUGUCACUUAUAGAUGGAUCCGCGCCGCAUUAGCUAGUUGGUAAGGUAACGGCUUACCAAGGCAACGAUGCGUAGCCGACCUGAGAGGGGGAAGGGCCACAGGGGAAAAGAGACCGGGGCCAGAACCAACGGGGGGGCAGAAGUAGGGAAAUUUCCGAAAGGGGGGAAAGCCUGAAGGGACAACGCCGGGGGAGGAAGGAAGGUUUACGGAACGUAAAACUUUUUUAUUGGGGAAAAAAAAAUGGGUAAGUAACAAGGCAGGUUUGGAGGGGAACUAAACAGAAAGCCACGACUAAUUAAGU
rnacentral:rRNA from 1 species